rnacentral:rRNA from 1 species
CCUACGGGUGGCAGCAGUGGGGAAUAUUGCACAAUGGGGGAAACCCUGAUGCAGCGACGCCGCGUGAGUGAAGAAGUACUUCGUUACGUAAAGCUCUAUCAGCAGGGAAGAAAAUGACGGUUACUGAGUAAGUAGCCCCGGCUAACUACGUGACAGCAGCCGCGGUAAUACGUAGGGGGCAAGCGUUAUCCGGAUUUACUGGGUGGAAAGGGAGCGUAGACGGUGCGGCAAGUCUGGAGUGAAAUGCCGCAGCUUAACCGCGGAACUGCUUUGGAAACUGGCGAACGAGAGUGAGGGAGAGGUAAGCGGAAUUCCAAGUGUAGCGGUGAAAUGCGUAGAUAUUGGGAGGAACACCAGUGGCGAAGGCGGCUUACUGGACCUUAACUGACGUUGAGGCUCGAAAGCGUGGGGAGCAAACAGGAUUAGAUACCCCUGUAGUC